GUACAGAGAGAAGAAACGCCUGUGGAUUUGAAGGAGUUAGAAAGGAAUUGUUGAAAGGAUAAAGAUGAAGAUGAAGAGAGAAAGAAAGAGGGAGGUGGGGUUGAUUGAUUCAGAAUCAAAACUCUCUCUCUUUCUUUCUCUCUGUUCGUCCCUCCAGUCAGCAGCGGAGCUCUCCCUCGUCGAACCCGACACCCCUAUCGCACGCUCUCUCUUUGGUAGUCUGACCACCUGCGAAUCUAGAGUCUCUCCCACUUCACCCGAACAACCCACCAUCCCUUCCUUCCCAUCUCUUCUCACUAAGUCCCGAUUCGCCAUCUCUAUUCUACAUGUAAUACUAAUAACAGUAAUAUCAUCUUUGAUUGUUGUUUGGAAUCAUUAGAGACAAGGAGAGAGUGGAAGGACAGGAUGUGCUUAUGGCUGUCUCAAAGAACAAAGAAGACAGUGCCGAGAGGCAUCAAAGUAAUAUUACUUUCCCUUUGAAUGGUGCAGUAUGCAGAAUUGAAGCCAGUACCAUGCCUUACUAUGGUGCUCAAGUGUUAAGGAAAACAAGUGCCACUCCACCUCCACAGUUUAUGAUUUUCUACUACAAGAUCUCAUAACUAAAUGUUUAAUUAAAUAUAUUUGUAGCCCAAGAGAUAUUUUAACUAGAUUUUCAAUUAAAUGCAUUUAUGUGAAUAUUCGUGUGACAUAAU
rnacentral:misc_RNA from 1 species